GAGCGUGCAUCGAAGCCGCAACAAAUUUUGCUUGCAUUAACUGUAACCGGUGAAAAAUGGCUCAAAUUGUGUAUCAACCUUUUUCCUUCAACAAUGGGGUCAAGAAUGUGUUCAGCGCAGAAACUCCAACUAGCCAUAAGCACCGAAGCGAGAGCCUCCCCCGCCAUCCAGAACGGCUGCCACAUCCGCUGCAGGAAGAAGAAAUGGAAGCUGA